UGGUCCUCCUCUGUGUUCCCCUCGAAAAUGAUGUAUUAGACUGUGAAUGAAUUUACAACCAACCAGUCAGACUUCUCAUCGUGAAUCAUUCCUAGACUUUUUGCCAAUUUUUUUUUUUAAAUGACAAUGACUUUCACCUCUGAAACUUGCAAAGAGUCAACCCUCUCUUUUCCCAGCUUAUCUGGGCUCUGAGAAAAAAGAAAAAAGAGUUUUAACCAUGACUUAAAAGGGACUUUCCAGUACCCAUGAUGAAUGAAUCUCACAGGAUAGAGAAAGAGACUCAGAAAUGAAACUGUUUCUACCUUGGAGAGAAGCCAGUGAGCCAGUUGAAUUUGGUGGCCAAGGAUAAUGUUAAUAAAAUGGAGGGACAUGUGCAGGGGUCUCUAUGUGAAACAUCAGAACGCAAACUCGAGGAGGAAUGACGCAGAGCCUGGGGGCUGCAGCAUGGCAGAUGGUUUUCUGUGUACCCUGGGGACUCUGGUAUGGCUGAGAAGAUUCCUAGGCAGGUCUAGGAAUGCCAGGCCCGAGACCUGGAAACCAUCUGGUCGAGUCCCCAACCUGGAGCAUCUGGUUACUUGAGCCGCUAAGCCUGCAGGCCAGAAAGCUGUGUGUGCCCUUGGGGAAAGUGGCAGAGCCUCUCAGCUUCCUGUGGCAGUUGGUUACAGUGUUUUAUUACCCUGCUGGUCAAGGAGAUCUUUCAUUUUGCUCAAAGAGAAUCUUGCCUGCUUUCGUGUCAGCUGUAAUUACCCUUGCUGAGUCCUUCUGGAGGACUCAGAACCUGAAAACAACUCUGGUACUGAUGUACAGUUCUGACUUCAGAGUUGGUCCUUACUUAAGUGAGGCUUUCUCAUUUAGCACCCUCAGCACCCACCCUGCUUCUAACUGUGACUUCAUCCUUCUCCUGACAUUGUGGGUGGGGACCCCUUUCUCUAUAGGAAUCAGAGAAUGUCAGCGUUGGUAGAGAUUAAUCCCUGCCUCUCAGCAAAAACCCUCCCUUUUUUUGAAGACCUCCUGGGAAUGGAGGGCUCGCUACCUCACAGGGCAGCUUCCAGGCCUGGCCAGAUUUUGCUUACUGGGGAACUCUUAAACUGGGAACAGAAGUCCGUCCCCACCCUUCACCCCCAUUUACGUGUCAUCAACAGUUCUUCUGGUCAAGAAGCAAAGGGGAGCACGCAUGGCCUUCCUAUGUUACUCACAGCUCCCUUGAAUGUUAUGAGAUGGUUCUCUUGGAGUGAGGGAAGGACUUGGAGUCAAAAAUCAAGCUAUUGAAUCCUAGUCCUGGUUGUGCUACCUCUAGCUUCGUGACCUAGAUCACUCAUUUAAAAAUCUCCCGCCUUCGUUUUCUCAUCUGUAAAAUGGGAGUAGAUCAGGUAGGAUGUAAAGUUCUUUCCAAGUCUCAAAUCCUAUGGCGUUAUGACCCGUUAAUCUUCAGGUUUCCGGUGAUCUGUGCGAUACCAGAGGGGCACUGGACUAUUCUGCGUCUUCCUUUAAUCGUCUUUGUCCACAGGACAAUUGCUACUUUGUCAUCAGUCAGUCCCGGAAAGCAAGCACAAUAUGAAACACAAUAUGCUGAAUGUUGUCUGAGCAGCUUAGAACAUACGCCACUACUUCCGGAGACCUGUACUUUGAUACUUCUAUUAUUGUGGCUGAAUUCUGGGUUCUUAAAAAAGAGUGUUCUUUCUUUUCUUUCUUUCUUUUUUUUUUUAAUAUAGUGGCCAUAUCAUAUUGUACUUUCACAGUAACACUAAGGUCACAUGAGGGCUUCUGCCAAGCCAGGACAACCCCAGCCUGAACGUGGGCAUCGGCUUUUUGAACCUAAAUAAAGAACUUCACUUUUCUCUC